rnacentral:rRNA from 1 species
GACGGCCAUUACUUCUAAGGAAGGCAGCAGGCGCCGUAAAAUUACCCCAAUCCUAAUACGGGGGAGGUAGUGACAAGAAAUAUUGAUAUUGGACCCAAAGGGUACAAUGAUUGAAAUGAGAACAAUAUAAAAAACUUAACGACUAACAAUUGGAGGGCAAGUCUGGUGCCAGCAGCCGCGGUAAUUCCAGCUCCAAGAGUGUAUAUUAAAAGUUGUUGCGGUUAAAAAGCUCGUAGUUGAAUUUCUGAAAAUAAUCUUGUGAUUGAUUUAACCGUCAUGAACAAAAAUUGUUUACAUACUUGAUAGAUGGAAACAUUUAUCUUAAUGACUUUGAAAAAAUUAGAGUGUUCAAAGCAUGAUUCACAUUUGAAUAAUACAGCAUGGGAUAAUAUAAUAUGACAUUAGUUAAAAAUUUGUUGGUUUCUUUGGCUAAUGUAAUGAUUAAAAGGG